GAUGAAGAACGUAGCGAAAUGCGAUAAGUAGUGUGAAUUGCAGAAUUCAGUGAAUCAUCGAAUCUUUGAACGCACAUUGCGCCCCUUGGUAUUCCAUGGGGCAUGCCUGUUCGAGCGUCAUUUGUACCUUCAGGCUCUGCUUGGUGUUGGGUGUUUGUCUCGCCUCUGCGUGUAGACUCGCCUCAAAACAAUUGGCAGCCGGCGUAUUGAUUUCGGAGCGCAGUACAUCUCGCGCUUUGCACUCAUAACGACGACGUCCAAAAGUACAUUUUUACACUCUUGACCUCGGAUCAGGUAGGGAUACCCGCUGAACUUAAGCAUAUCAAUAAGCGGAGGA
rnacentral:misc_RNA from 1 species